rnacentral:rRNA from 1 species
AGGGCGUCUGGUGAAUGCCUUGGCACUGAAAGCCGAUGAAGGACGUGAUAUACUGCGAUAAGUCUCGGGGAGUUGUAUGUAAACUUUGAUCCGAGAAUUUCCGAAUGGGGAAACCCAACUCUUUAAGAGUUAUUUCAAACUGAAUUCAUAGGUUUGAAAAGUCAACCUAGGGAACUGAAACAUCUAAGUACCUAGAGGAAAAGAAAUCAAUUGAGAUUCCGUCAGUAGUGGCGAGCGAACGCGGAACAGGCCUGUAAUUUUAUUUGUACAACUAGAAAAAUCUGGAAAGAUUUGCCACAGAGGGUGAUAGCCCCGUACAGGUAAAAGCAAAUAAGAUUCUCGAGUAAAGCGGGACACGUGAAAUCCUGCUUGAAGAUAGGGGGACCACCCUCUAAGCCUAAAUACUCUUCAGUGACCGAUAGUGAACUAGUACCGUGAGGGAAAGGUGAAAAGAACCCCUAUUAGGGGAGUGAAAUAGAACCUGAAACCGGAUGCCUACAAGCAGUCGGAGCUCUAUAUGAGUGACGACGUACCUUUUGUAUAAUGGGUCAGUGACUUUAUCUGUGCAGCAAGCUUAAGCCGAAAAGGUGUAGGCGUAGCGAAAGCGAGUCUGAAUAGGGCGACGAGUUGUACGGAUAAGAACCCGAAACCUAGUGAUCUAGUUAUGAGCAGGUUGAAGGUAAGGUAACACUUACUGGAGGACCGAACCGGUGCCUGUUGAAAAAGGCUCGGAUGACUUGUGAUUAGGGGUGAAAGGCCAAUCAAACUGGGAGAUAGCUGGUUUUCCGCGAAAACUAUUUAGGUAGUGCGUUGAAUAAUAAGAUCUUGAGGGGUAGAGCACUAAAUAGGCUAGGGGGAAGAAAUUCUUACUAAACCUAAUAAAACUCCGAAUACUCAAGAUUGUUUCUCAAUAGACAGACGGUGGGAGCUAACUUCCAUCGUCGAGAGGGAAAAAACCCAGACCACCAAUUAAGGUCCCAAAAUCGUAGUUAAGUGUGAAAGGAUGUGAAGACUCCAAAACAGCCGGGAGGUUGGCUUAGAAGCAGCCAUCCUUUAAAGAAAGCGUAACAGCUCACCGGUCUAAUUAAGAGACUUUGCGCCGAAGAUGUAACGGGGCUCAAACUACGUACCGAAGUUGUGGAUUUAAAGUGUCUACGGACAUUUUAUCUGGUAGCGGAACGUUCUGUAAGUCUGCGAAGGGAUACCCGCGAGGGGUCCUGGAGAUAUCAGAAGUGCGAAUGCUGACAUAAGUAGCGACAAACAGAGUGAAAGACUCUGUCGCCGAAAAUACAAGGGUUCCUGCGUAAAGUUAAUCUUCGCAGGGUUAGUCGGCCCCUAAGGCGAGGGCGAAAGCCGUAGUCGAUGGGAACAAGGUAAAUAUUCCUUGACCUGAUGGUAGUGACGGAUCUCGUAUAUUGUAAGUUCUUAUUGGAUUGAACUUGCUUUGAAGAGGUCCCAGGAAAUAACUCCAUCAUUAAGACCGUACCCUAAACGGACACACGUGUAUUGGUAGAGAAUACCUAGGCGCUUGAGAGAAUAAUGUUGAAGGAACUCGGCAACUUGCCUCUGUAACUUCGGGAUAAAGAGGGCCUUAGUUUGCGCAAGCAGAUUAAGGUGGCACAAGCCAGGGAGUAUCGACUGUUUAACAAAAACACAGGACUCUGCUAACACGUAAGUGGAUGUAUAGGGUCUGACGCCUGCCCGGUGCCGGAAGGUUAAAGCAAGAUGUGCAAGCAUCGAACUGAAGCCCCGGUGAACGGCGGCCGUAACUAUAACGGUCCUAAGGUAGCGAAAUUCCUUGUCGGGUAAGUUCCGACCUGCAUGAAUGGCGUAACGAAUGCUCCGGUGUCUCCAACAUUAACUCAGCGAAAUUGAAUUCUCCGUGAAGAUGCGGAGUUCCCGUGGUUAGACGGAAAGACCCCGUGCACCUUUACUACAACUUUACAUUGGUAUUAGAAAUGACAUGUGUAGCAUAGGAGGGAGACUUUGAAGUGGAGGCGCAAGCUUUCAUGGAGUCGUCAGUGAAAUACCUCUCUUGUUAUUUUUGAUAUCUAACUCCAUGCCGUCAUCCGGCUGGAAGACACUGUAUGGUGAGUAGUAUCGUGACUGGGA